UACGUAGGGUGCAAGCGUUAAUCGGAAUUACUGGGCGUAAAGCGUGCGCAGGCGGUUGUGCAAGACAGAGGUGAAAUCCCCGGGCUUAACCUGGGAAUGGCCUUUGUGACUGCACGGCUAGAGUGUGUCAGAGGGGGGGUAGAAUUCCACGUGUAGCAGUGAAAUGCGUAGAUAUGUGGAGGAAUGCCGAUGGCGAAGGCAGCCCCCCUGGGAUAACACUGACGCUCAUGCACGAAAGCGUGGGGGAGCAAACAGG
rnacentral:rRNA from 1 species